GUAGGGGCCAAACGUUUGUCCGGAUUUAUUGGGCGUAAAGGGCUCGUAGGCGGUUCAACAAGUCGGUCGUGAAAACCCGGGGCUCAACCCCCGGGACGCCGGUCGAAACUGUUGUGACUAGGGUCCGGUAGAGGUGAGUGGAAUUCUCGGUGUAGCGGUGGAAUGCGCAGAUAUCGAGAGGAACACCAGUUGCGAAGGCGGCUCACUGGGCCGGUACCGACGCUAAGGAGCGAAAGCAUGGGGAGCAAACAGGAUUAGAUACCCUGGUAGUCCAUGCCGUAAACUGUGAACACUAGGUGUGGCGGAUCUAUUGAUGUCUGCCGUACCGUAGCUAACGCGUUAAGUGUUCCGCCUGGGGUAGUACGGCCGCAAGGUCUA
rnacentral:rRNA from 1 species